AAUUUACCGUGGAGUUUCUUUAUAUGAACAGUUCCUUGUGCAUUUAAAAUAUGAUUCAGUGUACAAAAGUCUGAAUCACACAUCACAUUCCAGAAACAUUUUCAUUAUGUCUUUUAGGUGAGAUCGCUCUGUAAAACCCUUAGCACAAUACCCAGUAGGUAAGUACUCAAUAAAUGAUCUAGAUCUGUAAUUAUGCCGCAUAAGUUUCAUGUACGUAUUAUAUGUAGUAAUUAAAAAGGGGCACUUCUGAAUCUUUUAGAGACAAGGAUCUCAGAUGUGAACAUGAUUAAGAGUCAUCGGGGGCCCUUACUAAAAUUGCAAAUCUUUGAUCUCCACCCGAAAAUCAUCAGGUUCUGUAGUUCUGCCCGGUGGCCAGCAAGUUGAAUAGGCUCUGCUGCAGUCUAGUUCAUUGGAAUGUGGCUGGCUAAGUACGGUUUUGAGGACUUCUCCCAUAUCAGAGGGUCCGAGGACAGGCUCUACGGAGCAGG